rnacentral:sRNA from 1 species
AUUGUGCAGCAGGCGGGCCCCCGCGCGGCAGGGCCCUGGACCCGCGCGGCUCCCGGGGAUGGUGAGCAAGGCGCUCCUGCGCCUCGUGUCUGCCGUCAAUCGCAGAAGGAUGAAGCUGCUGCUGGGCAUCGCCUUGCUGGCCUACGUCGCCUCUGUUUGGGGCAACUUCGUUAAUAUGAGGUCUAUCCAGGAAAAUGGUGAACUAAAAAUUGAAAGCAAGAUUGAAGAGAUGGUUGAACCACUAAGAGAGAAAAUCAGAGAUUUAGAAAAAAGCUUUACCCAGAAAUACCCACCAGUAAAGUUUUUAUCAGAAAAGGAUCGGAAAAGAAUUUUGUUUUAAGUCGUGACUGCACCAGAGAUGUCUCUCCAUGGAGCUGGUCCUCAUUGUGUUCUCAUGUGCUUUUUCUGGGAAUGCUCUGCACACGCUGUCUGGAUGCAGAUAACCGGAGGCGCAGGGUUCGUGGGCUCCCAUCUAACUGACAAACUCAUGAUGGACGGCCACGAGGUGACCGUGGUGGACAAUUUCUUCACGGGCAGGAAG